GGGGGUGUAACUCAGUGGUAGAGUGCUUGCCUAGCAGGCACAAUGAACUGGGUUUGAUUCCCAGCACUGCCA
rfam:Ictidomys tridecemlineatus contig002756, whole genome shotgun sequence.